rnacentral:rRNA from 1 species
CACCUGAGGUUGAAUUCUGGCUCAGGACGAACGCUGGCGGCGUUUCUAAUACAUGCAAGUCGAACGCUUCUUUCCUCCCGAGUGCUUGCACUCAAUUGGAAAGAGGAGUGGCGGACGGGUGAGUAACACGUGGGUAACCUACCCAUCAGAGGGGGAUAACACUUGGAAACAGGUGCUAAUACCGCAUAACAGUUUAUGCCGCAUGGCAUAAGAGUGAAAGGCGCUUUCGGGUGUCGCUGAUGGAUGGACCCGCGGUGCAUUAGCUAGUUGGUGAGGUAACGGCUCACCAAGGCCACGAUGCAUAGCCGACCUGAGAGGGUGAUCGGCCACACUGGGACUGAGACACGGCCCAGACUCCUACGGGAGGCAGCAGUAGGGAAUCUUCGGCAAUGGACGAAAGUCUGACCGAGCAACGCCGCGUGAGUGAAGAAGGUUUUCGGAUCGUAAAACUCUGUUGUUAGAGAAGAACAAGGACGUUAGUAACUGAACGUCCCCUGACGGUAUCUAACCAGAAAGCCACGGCUAACUACGUGCCAGCAGCCGCGGUAAUACGUAGGUGGCAAGCGUUGUCCGGAUUUAUUGGGCGUAAAGCGAGCGCAGGCGGUUUCUUAAGUCUGAUGUGAAAGCCCCCGGCUCAACCGGGGAGGGUCAUUGGAAACUGGGAGACUUGAGUGCAGAAGAGGAGAGUGGAAUUCCAUGUGUAGCGGUGAAAUGCGUAGAUAUAUGGAGGAACACCAGUGGCGAAGGCGGCUCUCUGGUCUGAACUGACGCUGAGCCAUGAGUC